rnacentral:rRNA from 1 species
AUUGAACGCUGGCGGCGUGCCUAAUACAUGCAAGUCGAACGAAGUGGCGCACGGGUGAGUAAUAUCUAGUUAAUCUGCCCUACACAGAGGCCCAACCGUUGGCAACGACUGCUAAUACCUCAUAGUGUAGGAUGAGCCUAUAUCGUAUCAGCUAGUUGGUAAGGUAAUGGCUUACCAAGGCUAUGACGCGUAACUGGUCGGAGAGGAUGAUCAGUAACAUUGGAAGUGAGACACGGUCCAAACACCUACGGGAGGGAGCAGUAAGGAAGAUUGCGCAAUGGGGGAAAACCUGAAGCAGCAACGCAGCGUGGAGGAUGACACUUUUCGGAGAGUAAACUCCUUUUAACAGGAAAGCGGUACCUGAUGAAUAAGCAACGGCUAACUCCGUGCCAGCAGCCGCGGUAAUAC